AGUUCCGUGUGAAUUGUGUUUCACAUUAAUAGGUCCGUUGUGACUGUUUACGAUUUUACGACGCAGCCGCAUUAUGACACUUUUAGCUUUGUCUCAUUUGAAGGGGACGGAUAUGACUGUGCAACCUAGAAGAAAGAAAAGUGUAUCCAAGAAAAGUGUACUACCAUUAACCAAGAAAAGCCUUUAUAUAAAGGAAUAAACAGAAGAUCACUUGGCACAUUCAAACCCAUGAGAGAAACCUUACAAGUGUGACAAGUGCAGUUAUGCAUGUGGAGAUCCUUCAAGGCUAAAGUAUCAUAUGAGGAUUCACAUGGAGGAAUGCAAGUAUCUCUGCCCAGAAUGUGGCUACAAAUGCAAAUGGGGCAACCAGCUGAAGUAUCACAUGACAAAACAUACAAGUAGUUAUGCACUAAACUGUAUGCAUGUCAGGAAUGUGAGUACAGCACCAUCCGUGCUGACGCACUGCGCAUCCACCUGGAGACACGUCAUAGAGGCAUGCGUUCCUUUAUAUGCAAGAAAUGCGGAAAGGCUUUGUAGCUGUGUUUCUGUAUGCAUUUCAAUUGACAUUCCUUCAUCUUUUGAAAGUAUUACAUAUAAUCAUAACCCUCAUUUAAACCACAACGAACAAACAUUUUUGCAAUAUAUUUAUUGUUGUUAUUCUUGUUUAUUCCUUUAAAUGGCAUUUUCCAUUUCCAUUCCGAACAAUAUUUACCUGGGCAAGUACAAUUUAUAUUGAACACUUGCUUUUGGGUUAUUUAUAAAAGGCACUUAACCAUGCUCAGCUACAUUAAUUCAGAUAAUGUACAACCUUAAGGAUGCAUUCUACCCUGACUAUAUAUGCUUAAAAAUGCAUUAUAUAUAUUUUUUAUUAACAAUACACUCAGUAUUGCAUAGAUAAACAACUAAAAAUUACAUUUUCUAUUGCCAAAAAGGCUUUAAUGCACCGUUCUUGGAGGUCUAUUGUGACAACAAGGUACUACUAACACCAUGCAACUAUACAGUACUAUAGAGGUACUCUUAAAAACAAUGCUUAGUUGCUAUACCUUUUUGCUUUAAGCAAGGAUUAGUGAUUAAAUCAUGUUUUGGUUGUUCAGGUGAUUGCCAGCAUUUGUAUUUUUAUUCAAAGAAUGAGAUUAAAUGUGUCUCUACCUUUUUACAGAAACUACAGAUUUGUCUUAGAAAUAUUUAAGCAUUGUGAAUAAAACUACUAGAAUUGUGAACAUUGUGUACACCUAUAAUUACAACUCUCUAAUUUUGAUAUGAACAAAGAUGGAGGAUGGAUGGAUACUCGUUCCAUCUUUGGACAACA